CUGCUGCUGUGGUGUUUUGGGUGGUUGCUCUGUGGUUGUUAAGAUGCUGUGAAUGGUUGCCAGGGUGUUGCUAUGCAGCUGCAUACAGAAUGUGUUCUGCGGGUUAAUAGAAUGUUGCCAUGCAGUUGUUGGCUUUUGUGAAUGGUUGCCAUGGCAUUGGUUUGCAGUUGCUAGGAUGCUGUGAAUGGUUGCCAGGGUGUUGCUAUGCAGCUGCAUACAGAAUGUGUCCUGCGGGUUAAUAGAAUGUUGCCAUGCAGUUGUUGGCUUUUGUGAAUGGUUGCCAUGGCAUUGGUUUGCAGUUGCUAGGGUGUUGUGGUGGUUGCCAGGGUGAUGCUAUGCAGUUGCUAGAGUGUUGUGAAUGGUUGCCAGGGCAUUGCCCUGCAGUUGUUAAGGUAUUGUUUAUGGUUGCCAGGGCAUUGCCAUGCAGCUGCAUACAGUAUGUGCUCUACAGGUUAAUAGUGUGUUGCCAUACAGUUGCUAGGAUGCUGUAGAUGGUUGCCAGGGUG
ensembl:lncRNA